rnacentral:tRNA from 1 species
GGAGGAUUACCCAAGUCCGGCUGAAGGGAACGGUCUUGAAAACCGUCAGGCGUGUAAUCAAAUCCUGCU